ensembl:lncRNA
AUGACGGCUCUGUUGUGUUGCUGUUGUUCUCAGGUCGGCAGCUCUUCGGAGGCCGGUGAGAGAGAGCCUCUGCUUUUGCCACAGUCAGCGAAACGAGUCCCUCGAGUAGCCCCAUUUCCUGAGGAUUUCACAUACCCAGAUGAGAAGGAUAACAGAAUGACACCUAAGUGUGUUGGAGUCCCAGUGAUUGAUAAUUACUUUACAGACAUUGCAGAAAUGUUUAACCAGCAGCAGGAAAACUACAAAACCAUGACAGAAUGUUUAAGAAGCUUGAAAGACAGCUAUCACUGUUCCCAUGGAGAUGGUCUUUCUGAGUGCUUGAUGAAAAUGAGAGAUGAGCACAGCACUCUCAGACCGAACCUGGAAAUGAAGGGUUAUGAAUUCUCCUUAGUGUUGUCAUCAGACAUAGUGCCUGAAAAACUGCAGAAGGCUCAGGAAUGGGUGAAGACCCUGUGUCUGACAGCCAAGGCUAUCACAGCAACAAGCACCAAGCUCCAGGAGAUGAUCAAAUGGGUGCUGCAGUCUGAGGAAGACUUCAUGCGGCAGGUCAAGAAAGCCACUCCAAACUUUCUUGACCAGCGACGAGUUGAAAGCAAUCUGAAUGAGGACUUGAAAGAGGUCAAAAGAGCCAAGCAACAGUCAAAGAAAUAUGGACAAGAAGCUGGUGACCUUGUUAAUGAAGUGGUUCACCUUACUUCCAUCAGCUGUAAUCCAUAACCCCUAGAGGAAAUGUUAUAAUAAAUGUAAUAACCAAGAUGUGGAAGAUUAAAUG